rnacentral:rRNA from 1 species
GACGAACGCUGGCGGCGUGCUUAACACAUGCAAGUCGAACGGUAAGGCCCUUCGGGGUACACGAGUGGCGAACGGGUGAGUAACACGUGGGUGAUCUGCCCUGCACUUCGGGAUAAGCCUGGGAAACUGGGUCUAAUACCGGAUAGGACCCUGGGAUGCAUGUCCUGGGGUGGAAAGCUUUUGCGGUGUGGGAUGGGCCCGCGGCCUAUCAGCUUGUUGGUGGGGUGAUGGCCUACCAAGGCGACGACGGGUAGCCGGCCUGAGAGGGUGACCGGCCACACUGGGACUGAGAUACGGCCCAGACUCCUACGGGAGGCAGCAGUGGGGAAUAUUGCACAAUGGGCGCAAGCCUGAUGCAGCGACGCCGCGUGAGGGAUGACGGCCUUCGGGUUGUAAACCUCUUUCAGCACCGACGAAGCGCAAGUGACGGUAGGUGCAGAAGAAGGACCGGCCAACUACGUGCCAGCAGCCGCCGCCG